ensembl:miRNA
UCAGGACACCAGAGAACCAUAGAGCGAAUUACUUCUUCCAGAGUGCUAAAUGAUCCCCUGGUGCCCUGGAA